rnacentral:rRNA from 1 species
AGCGGACAGAUGGGAGCUUGCUCCCUGAUGUUAGCGGCGGACGGGUGAGUAACACGUGGGUAACCUGCCUGUAAGACUGGGAUAACUCCGGGAAACCGGGGCUAAUACCGGAUGGUUGUUUGAACCGCAUGGUUCAGACAUAAAAGGUGGCUUCGGCUACCACUUACAGAUGGACCCGCGGCGCAUUAGCUAGUUGGUGAGGUAACGGCUCACCAAGGCGACGAUGCGUAGCCGACCUGAGAGGGUGAUCGGCCACACUGGGACUGAGACACGGCCCAGACUCCUACGGGAGGCAGCAGUAGGGAAUCUUCCGCAAUGGACGAAAGUCUGACGGAGCAACGCCGCGUGAGUGAUGAAGGUUUUCGGAUCGUAAAGCUCUGUUGUUAGGGAAGAACAAGUGCCGUUCAAAUAGGGCGGCACCUUGACGGUACCUAACCAGAAAGCCACGGCUAACUACGUGCCAGCAGCCGCGGUAAUACGUAGGUGGCAAGCGUUGUCCGGAAUUAUUGGGCGUAAAGGGCUCGCAGGCGGUUUCUUAAGUCUGAUGUGAAAGCCCCCGGCUCAACCGGGGAGGGUCAUUGGAAACUGGGGAACUUGAGUGCAGAAGAGGAGAGUGGAAUUCCACGUGUAGCGGUGAAAUGCGUAGAGAUGUGGAGGAACACCAGUGGCGAAGGCGACUCUCUGGUCUGUAACUGACGCUGAGGAGCGAAAGCGUGGGGAGCGAACAGGAUUAGAUACCCUGGUAGUCCACGCCGUAAACGAUGAGUGCUAAGUGUUAG